ensembl:lncRNA
GCUUCAUUAGCUGAAGUGGCCGAGAUGGCUUCGUUUUCCUCCUCGUCACACCUGUCGCUGGCCGCGCUCGUGGGGGAGACGGUGAUGACGCCCUCGGGUCAGGCCAACGUCAUCUACCUGGCUGUGAAUGAGAGCAGUCCCGGGACCCUGCUGCUGCAGCUGUGUGAGCUGCUGGCCACAACACCACUGCAGUAUGACUCUUGUGGAUGGGAGCAGAUCUGAGUUUGCAACUUGAGAGCUGCUUGUGACCAUACAGAGAGGGUUUAGUGUUUGAGGAAGAGAGACCGCCACCGCCGAACCGCGCCCCUCUGGCCCCGAUGCUGGAGUUCGUCUCUGCCCAGACGGGGGUUCCCGUUGUUGCCGUUGGGGGAGGAGCCAGUCUGGGAAGAGAGCCACAGGUCCGCCUUCUGUACUGCUCCCUGGAAGAGGCAGAGCUCAUUUUCCGGGCAGCUUGGGCAGCGGGUCAGGCCGGGCCCAGCCAUAUGUGGUUUGCAGUGGGACCAGCCCUAUCUGGGUUGGGUCUGGAGGGGCUUCCAAAGGCUUUGUUUGCUAUCCGGCCGCAGGGAUGGAGGGAUGAGCCACGCAG